AAGUCGUAACAAGGUCUCCGUUGGUGAACCAGCGGAGGGAUCAUUACUGAGUGUAAAAACUCCCAAACCCCUGUGAACAUACCAUCUGUUGCUUCGGCGGGAUCGCCCCGGGCGCCUUUGCGUGCCCCGGAUCCAGGCGCCCGCCGGAGGACUCCAAACUCUUGUUUUAUAUGUGGCAUUAUCUGAGUGGCUUAUAGCAAAAUAAAUCAAAACUUUCAACAAUGGAUCUCUUGGCUCUG
rnacentral:misc_RNA from 1 species